rnacentral:rRNA from 1 species
UACGGGGGGAGCAAGCGUUGUUCGGAUUUACUGGGCGUAAAGGGCGCGUAGGCGGUCACGACAAGUCAGUUGUGAAAUCUCCGGGCUUAACUCGGAACGGUCAACUGAUACUGUCGGACUAGAGUGCAGAAGGGGCAACUGGAAUUCUCGGUGUAGCGGUGAAAUGCGUAGGUAUCGAGAGGAACACCUGCGGCGAAGGCGGGUUGCUGGGCUGACACUGACGCUGAGGCGCGAAAGCUAGGGGAGCGAACGGG